rnacentral:rRNA from 1 species
AUUGAACGCUGGCGGCAGGCUUAACACAUGCAAGUCGAGCGGAAACGAUGAUAGCUUGCUAUCAGGCGUCGAGCGGCGGACGGGUGAGUAAUACUUAGGAAUCUACCUAGUAGUGGGGGAUAGCACGGGGAAACUCGUAUUAAUACCGCAUACGACCUACGGGAGAAAGGGGGCAGUUUACUGCUCUCGCUAUUAGAUGAGCCUAAGUCGGAUUAGCUAGAUGGUGGGGUAAAGGCCUACCAUGGCGACGAUCUGUAGCUGGUCUGAGAGGAUGAUCAGCCACACCGGGACUGAGACACGGCCCGGACUCCUACGGGAGGCAGCAGUGGGGAAUAUUGGACAAUGGGGGAAACCCUGAUCCAGCCAUGCCGCGUGUGUGAAGAAGGCCUUUUGGUUGUAAAGCACUUUAAGCAGUGAAGAAGACUCCGUGGUUAAUACCCACGGACGAUGACAUUAGCUGCAGAAUAAGCACCGGCUAACUCUGUGCCAGCAGCCGCGGUAAUACAGAGGGUGCAAGCGUUAAUCGGAAUUACUGGGCGUAAAGGGAGCGUAGGUGGCUCUAUAAGUCAGAUGUGAAAUCCCCGGGCUUAACCUGGGAACUGCAUCUGAAACUGUAGAGCUAGAGUAUGUGAGAGGAAGGUAGAAUUCCAGGUGUAGCGGUGAAAUGCGUAGAGAUCUGGAGGAAUACCGAUGGCGAAGGCAGCCUUCUGGCAUAAUACUGACACUGAGGCUCGAAAGCGUGGGUAGCAAACAGGAUUAGAUACCCUGGUAGUCCACGCCGUAAACGAUGUCUACUAGUCGUUGGGUCCCUUGAGGACUUAGUGACGCAGCUAACGCAAUAAGUAGACCGCCUGGGGAGUACGGCCGCAAGGUUAAAACUCAAAUGAAUUGACGGGGGCCCGCACAAGCGGUGGAGCAUGUGGUUUAAUUCGAUGCAACGCGAAGAACCUUACCUGGUCUUGACAUAUCUAGAAUCCUGCAGAGAUGCGGGAGUGCCUUCGGGAAUUAGAAUACAGGUGCUGCAUGGCUGUCGUCAGCUCGUGUCGUGAGAUGUUGGGUUAAGUCCCGCAACGAGCGCAACCCUUGUCCUUAGUUACCAGCGGGUUAAGCCGGGAACUCUAAGGAUACUGCCAGUGACAAACUGGAGGAAGGCGGGGACGACGUCAAGUCAUCAUGGCCCUUACGACCAGGGCUACACACGUGCUACAAUGGUAGGUACAGAGGGCAGCUACACAGCGAUGUGAUGCGAAUCUCAAAAAGCCUAUCGUAGUCCAGAUUGGAGUCUGCAACUCGACUCCAUGAAGUAGGAAUCGCUAGUAAUCGCGGAUCAGAAUGCCGCGGUGAAUACGUUCCCGGGCCU